UGGUCAAACAUUGCUUCAAAACGUUUCAUACAUAAAUAAACAUGAUGCAAUAUGUUAAAACAUUAUAAGAACGCCUAAGUAUUUUUAAAUUGAUAAUCAUGUUUUUAAAUUAAGUCUUUAGCAUAAACAACUUUUAUUUGUAUGUGUUUUUACUUCCCCUUAUUUUGAAUACAUUGUCCAGUCUAGCCUACUUUACUCGUUUUGUACUAAAUUCCUAAAUGUGUGUAUUAUACUUAAAGGUAAACACAAAAAGUUAUGCCUUAUGAGAGACACUAGCAGCAGGUCACGUUUCUAUGGACAUAUGAUCUCAGAUUAUACACACUGUAGGUAUCCUGUCAAUCUUUCUGAAGAAUAAUACAUUACUUUAACCAGCAGAGGUCACCGUCAAACAAACAUCUGGCACCAGUAGUUCCUUGUCACGUGAUGUAAAAGGCCCUAUAGCGUCACAGCUACGAUCAACUAUCACGUGAUCGCUCAGACGUUCGUAAAACCAGCACGUAGCCUUCCUUAUUAAUAUUACACAAAGACAACCAUUACGUUAAACGCGUCGAAAGAGUGACCACCUAUUAGAUAUUAAACAAUUAAAAGGGGUAAGAAACGAGAAAGAAUUUCAAUCCACGUUGGAUGAAUGAAGGUAACAUUCCGCGUGACAAUGACGUCACGUGGAAGUCGUGAAGCUCGAGCUUCUGUGGCUCGCGAACACACAACAAACAAACAGCCCCGCCCACACCAUUAAACUGUGGUGCAUUCGCCGCACAUACAUCUUAGUCCGAAUUAUUACGACUUAAAAUACACAUGUAGUAAUGUUUCUGAAUGUAUUAAAACCCUGAAUGUUUUUUUUACCUGGACGUGUUUUAAUCACAUAAUUGUGCGCGGGAUUUAGAGGAAGAGGAGUGCACAGCUAACGCUGCUAGCCGCUUUAUUCAUAUAUUAUUUUCCACAUCUGAGAGGCGGGGAAUCCAAAGCCAAAGCUGUCAGAAAAUCCAGACUUUUGGAUGCAUUCAAUUAACACACGCGACAGCUAACGCUGCUAGCCGCUUUAUUCUAUAUAUUAUUUUCCUACAUCUGAGAGGCGGGGGAAAGUCCAAAAGCCAAAGCUGUCAGAAAAUCCAGACUUUUGGAUGCAUUCAAUUAACACACGCGUUUCAUUUAACAGUCGCCUCAUCUCAGGACUUCUGUUUUCUGGAGACAACAGCAAGAAGCUAUCGAGGAAUUACAUGGAUUAUCUGGAGGUGACCUGAAAAGAUCUGACCUCAAAUCUCCCACUGAUAAAAUCAACAUGAAGAACAUCUCUCUGCUUAGUCAGGACUUGUUUAAUUAUUUAUUUUCUCUCUUUUAAUUUUCUUAUUUGAAUAAUUUAUAUUAUUAGUUUUUACUGUGGCUGGUAUAUGGUAUUGAUGUGAUCAAAAAGU
rnacentral:lncRNA from 1 species